rnacentral:rRNA from 1 species
UACGUAGGGGGCAAGCGUUGUCCGGAUUUAUUGGGCGUAAAGAGCGUGUAGGCGGCUAGAUAGGUCCGUUGUGAAAACUCGAGGCUCAACCUCGAGACGUCGAUGGAAACCAUCUGGCUAGAGUCCGGAAGAGGAGAGUGGAAUUCCUGGUGUAGCGGUGAAAUGCGCAGAUAUCAGGAGGAACACCGAUUGCGAAGGCAGCUCGCUGGGACGUUACUGACGCUGAGACGCGAAAGCGUGGGGAGCAAACAGG